rnacentral:rRNA from 1 species
AACUUAGCAUAUCAUAGCGAGGAAAGAACCCACAGGGAUUGCCUCAGUAACGGCGAGUGAAGCGGCAACAGCUCAAAUUUGAAAUCUGGUUCCUCUGGGGACCCGAGUUGUAAUUUGUAGAGGAUGUCUUCGGGUUUGGCACCGGCCUAAGUUCCUUGGAAUAGGACGUCAUAGAGGGUGAGAAUCCCGUAUGUGGCUGGAGGUCUAUACCCAUGUGAAGCUCCCUCGACGAGUCGAGUUGUUUGGGAAUGCAGCUCAAAAUGGGUGGUAAGUUUCAUCUAAAGCUAAAUAUUGGCGGGAGACCGAUAGCGCACAAGUAGAGUGAUCGAAAGAUGAAAAGCACUUUGGAAAGAGAGUUAAAAAGUACGUGAAAUUGUUGAAAGGGAAGCGCUUGCAAUCAGACUUGCCCCCAGUUGAUCAAGCGGUGUUCUUCACCGGUGCACUCGGCUGGGGUCAGGCCAGCAUCGGUUUAGGCGGUUGGAGAAAGGCCGUUGGGAAUGUGGCUCUCUUCGGGGAGUGUUAUAGCCUGUGGUGGCAUGCAACCAGCCUAGACCGAGGACCGCGCCCUUCUGGGCUAGGAUGCUGGCGUAAUGGUCGUAAGCGACCCGUCUUGAAACACGGACCAAGGAGUCUAACAUCUAUGCGAGUGUUUGGGUGUCAAACCCAUGCGCGUAAUGAAAGUGAACGGAGGUGGGAACCCUUCAGGGUGCACCAUCGACCGAUCCUGAUGUCUUCGGAUGGAUUUGAGUAGGAGCAUAGCUGUUGGGACCCGAAAGAUGGUGAACUAUGCCUGAAUAGGGUGAAGCCAGAGGAAACUCUGGUGGAGGCUCGCAGCGGUUCUGACGUGCAAAUCGAUCGUCAAAUUUGGGUAUAGGGGCGAAAGACUAAUCGAACCAUCUAGUAGCUGGUUCCUGCCGAAGUUUCCCCU